CCCCGGGUGGGCGGGGUCUGCUGCCCGCGCAGGAAGCGGCGGGGGCGGGGUUGAGAGCGCUCGCGGCCGAGUCAGUCGCGGACGAUCCGGCGGGGCGGAGGGGUGAUGGCGCAUCGGCAGCGGAGCCCGCUCAGGCCACCAGCUCCUUGGACUCAAGGAAGGAAGCGAGAUGCAGAUGGCAAACCCAGAAGCACACACGAUCUAAGCUCGCCCACUUCUCACAGUGAAAAUACAUGCAAAGUGUUAGACAGGCGCUCGGACAAUUUCACCACACCCGAAAGCCAUAAACCUCAUCCAAGAUGCUUGGAUUGGGCAACUGCUGUGGAAGAGGAUGAAAUGAGGGCUAACGUUAAUCAAGAAAUGGCAAGAUACAAAAGGAAGCUCUUGAUGAAUGAGUCUGGAAGAGAAAGAAAGCUGUCCUCAGGAAGCUCUGAUUCCAAGGAGUCCACCGGAGCCAUGGAGCUGGAGACAGAUGAAGUUGUUUUAAUGAGAAGACAGAAACAAAUAAAUUAUGGGAAGAACACGCUGGCAUACGACAGAUACAUUCGAGAAGUUCCCAAGAGUUUACGGGUUCCAGGGGUCCAUCCAAGGACGCCCAACAAAUUCAAGAAAUACAGCCGAAGGUCCUGGGACCAACAGAUCAGACUCUGGAAAGUGGCGUUGCAUUUUUGGGACCCCCCUGCUGAAGAAGACUGACGCUCACCCGCAAUGCCACCUGAUUUUGAAAAUUUACUGUGGAAUAAAAACGGGGCCUGUUGCUUUGGUGAUAUGGAAAGCGCAUCUGUAGGAAAUAAUUCUGCUGCGUCAUAAGCGAGUUCCCCAGACAGUGAUGUCAGCAGCUUGACUUUUGCAGCUAAAUCAGCGAAAACUAGCCCAUUUGACAACUCUGUCUUUGUGGCAUGUAAACCCUUGUCCAUGCUUAAGAUGCCCCAGACUAGAUUCUAGUUUAUGUUUGCUGAAGUAGACUUAACAGGGCCCCCCUCAGGAGCACUUUCCUACCAAGUUGCGUGGAAGCGCUAUUUUACAGAACCCCGACAGGUGCCUGUUUCCAGGGCUGGGUUAACCUGAUGUUCAUUGUCCUUAUAAAAGAUGAGCUAGCAUCAGCUGAUGUAUCUGAAUGUUGUAUCUGAAUGUUGUGUUUGCAACUUAAAGCCUAUGUUUUAAAAAUGUUGUAUAUCCAGUGUGUUGGCAGUGAAGAAUCUCAUAUAUUAAAUACCAGUCUAUUUUGA